rnacentral:lncRNA from 1 species
CCAGUAGCCAUGCUAUAUAUAGUGUAUCUAGUAGCCAUGCUAUAUAUAGUGUAUCCAGUAGUCAUGCCAUAUAUAGUGUAUCUAGUAGCCAUGCUAUAUAUAGUGUAGAGGCCAUGCUAUAUAUAGUGUAUCUAGUAGCCAUGCUAUAUAUAGUGUAGAGGCCAUGCUAUAUAUAGUGUAUCUAGUAGCCAUGCCAUAUAUAGUGUAGAGGCCAUGCUAUAUAUAGUGCAUCCAGUAGCCAUGCUAUAUAUAGUGUAUCCAGUAGCCAUGCUAUAUAUAGUGUAUCUAGUACCCAUGCUAUAUAUAGUGUAUCUAGUAGCCAUGCUAUAUAUAGUGUAUCAGUAGCCAUGCUAUAUAUAGUGUAUCUAGCAGCCAUGCUUAUAUAGUGUAGAGGCCAUGCCAUAUAUAGUGUAUCCAGUAGCCAUGCUAUAUAUAGUGUA